rnacentral:misc_RNA from 1 species
AAGAUAGUCUUCCUGAAUCCAAAGGAUAACCAUCGACAAGAUUUUUAUCUCUGCGACCUGAACAAAAAGUGAAAACUUCAGCUGAGUUGAAUUUAUAUCAACCCGGAAGAAUAAAGUUUUUUGAAUAAAACAAGAAGAAGGAACGAAGCAGACAAAAAAUACUAAGCUUCUGAGAUAAUGGGAGGUACACGUAUCGAGAAAAUCAUCAUAUUGUCAGUUUUAGUUUCUCUGAUAACAUCGUCUCCUAGUGAAACCACAUCAUCGGCAAUGUCACCACUGGACAAUAAAGCUGCGACAAACGACAUAGAUAUUUCAACAACACGUACAACAAAAUACCAAGAAAUAACGGCAAUGCACGAGGCCGGCGAAACUUCAACAAAUACACCACUCACAAGACGAGAUGGUUCAACAUUUCACUCCACUGUUGUUUCAGGGGCGACCAAAACCAUACCUAAUAUUGAUAUAACAAAAGAAAAUAACACUUCGUCACAAAUUCUCAUAUCUAUGACAGCUCAUGAUCAAGCAAUGAGUGAUUCUACACCUAUAACUAAUGAAGAGGAUAAAGAAUCAGCCAGUGGAGAAAUGUCUUCUUUAAAAAGUCCUGACCAACCUAUGUUCAAAGAAUCUUUCACAGAACAACCGACUGAGUUAUCAUCUAUAUCAACAAUAUCUAUAUUAAAUGAAAAUACAAGUGCCUCAGAUACACCAAUAACUUCGGCAACACCAAGUACUACGACAACACCGAUAACUUCAACAACACCAAGUACUACGACAACACUAAUAACUUCAACAACACCGAGUACUACGACAACAUCGAUAACUUCGGCAACACCAAGUACUACGACAACACCGAUAACUUCAACAAAACCAAGUACUACGACAACACCAAUAACUUCAACAACACCAAGUACUACGACAACACCGAUAACUUCGGCAACACCAAGUACUACGACAACACCGAUAACUUCAACAACACCGAGUACUACGACAACACCGAUAACUUCAACAACACCAAGUACUACGACAACACCAAUAACUUCAACAACACCAAGUAUUACGACAACACCAAUAACUUCAACAACACCGAUAACUGCAACAGCGACCAAUACAACAACAACCCAGACAACUAUAACAACAACCGUAAGAACUACGACACCAUUAAGUACUUCAACAACACCAAAAACUACAACAGCACUAAAUAUAAUAACAACACCAAGAACUACAACAACACUAAGUACAACAACAACAAAAAUACGUCCAACACCACUACGAACACCACCAACGUCAUCGUCAACAAGAACAAAUCCUACACAUAUGACGUCUCGAAGCACUUCGGCCUUGGAAACACCUAAUCACUAUUUGAAUGAAAUAAAUCAUCUUAAUUCAAAUGUAUCGGACUUGGAGGAAGAGGUAUCUUCCUUGACAGCAGCAGUUGUCGUUUUAAGUCUGUUUUUGGUGACCAUUUUGAUAUUGUGUGCUGUUUAUUACAUACGACGAAGGUCUGUAUUAAAACAUUCCUCUAAAUUUUUAAAUCAUUGAAUACUCAUGAGUUUUAGCGGAAAAUAUAUCAAGAAUGUAUUUGCUACUUCUAUCUCAUAUCAUUUCAAGUUUUGUUGUUUUAUGUUUUGAAAGACUGACUAUUUUUUAAACACUUUAAUUAACUUAUAUGAUUUGCUUCUUACCAAACAAACCUCAACAGCAUAUCUUGCAAACGAUAAGGUGGUCAAGUGUGUUAAUACAGUGAGUAACGUUUGAGGUCUCUUUCACUCUUUUUAUUUUUCUUUGAAAGACUACGUCCGGCAAAAUCGCCAUUUGAUGACAUAAAUAUGAAGGAAAUUGACGUUGAAAAACGAGAAAAUGAGAGGCGGGGUCCUUUCUUCGGAAAUACAGACAACAUAUUCAGGGUGAGCACAGCCACUCUCGGAGAAAAUGACCAUACUCCUGUGCCUGCGAAAACUUUCAAACCCGCCGGCAACACGGGAUACUCCGAGAGGACUAGUGCUAGCAUAACAAUAGACGGGAAUAUAGAAGAUAGAUCUGUGUUGUGAAAUCAUGUGUACAAAUCUUCAAAAAUGUAAAAUCUUCCGCUUAAAAGGAGGGUCAUUUUGUUUACGAAAUGACUGACAUUUAUUUAGAAGGCUGGAUCGUCAACAGUUAACCCAUUCCAUCAUUUUGUAAUUCAUUUAACGAAUCACAAUUGGCAUCUUGGCACUAUGUUACUGAUUCAUUACCCAUAUAUUUCGUCCUCAUACAUAGAAGAUAGAUCUGUGUUGUGAUGAUAAAAUCAAACUUAAAGAGAGUGAAGUUAUUCAGUUUAACAGUUACGAACUGCUUGAAAAUUAUCGAAGGGGCAUGGUCACGAUUUUGGUUUAUUUUAAUUUUCUGUUUAUAUUAUUAAUUGCUUUAAGAAUGCAUUUCUAAUGAUCAGAUAAAAUCUGAGAGUCAGUGGUAGAGUUAAAAGCAAGGUACAAGGUACAGGGCCAACAACUCUUUGUCAUGUAAACAAGACCAGUACCCCGUUUUUGUUUACAUAGGUAAAAAAAUAUUUUUCAAGCUGAUUCCUAUCUUCUAAUUCGUUUUAAGCACAAAAAAGCAGUUUUCUAACGUUAAACACAUUUAUUUUAGAUCUAAAACUGGAAUUUUCACUACUUUAACAUUCAAAAUGUAAACAAAAGCGUUGUCGACAUAGCAAAAAAUUGUAUGCUCUGUGACUUGCUUAUAACUGAACGAAUCACACUUAAAAUUUGGUUUUCUGUUAAAACAGCCUUACUGAAGCAUUGUAAUCCUUAAAAUGGGUAAAACAAUUUUGACCAAAGUUGUGACCAUGUUCUUUAAAGAAGGCUGCAUUCAACCUUCUAUACAAUCAUAUUAUAUUUCAUCUAACAAAUCAGCAUUGAUUCAUGCAUCUUGACACUCUGUUAUUGGUUCAUUAUUCAUAUAAAUCCAACUCAUAUCUUGUUUAAGUCAUAACCCUUCAGAUUUAGUAAAAUGAAAACCUGUUAAAAGGCUACAAACAGUUAACUUGUGUAGAGUUUAGUGGCUGCCAUAUCAUCUGUAUGUUAAUUUGUUAAAAUGUACUUUACAGGGAUUUCCAUAUAAAACUCUUAUUGGUCACAU